rnacentral:lncRNA from 1 species
GUAGUGUUGGCUGAGGCUCCCUCUUGCCGGCUCCUGCUCUUGAAACACACCCAAGUGCAAUGUUCAAUGUCACUGUUUGGUGAGCACUCAUAUGGGACAUAAACAUCUUCAUUUUCUUGCAAUUCAGAGAGGUCCAUCUACAUGCCUCUUCCCCUGACCUCCUUGUCACCAUCUUACUUCCAAGUCUGUGACUGCAACUGGAAUUUACACCACUGGCUUUCCUGAUUCUUAGGGCUUUGGACUUGGACUGAAGCUACAGCAUUUACUCUCCUGGGUCUCCAACUUGCCAACUGCAGAUUUUGUGGCUUCUCAGCCUCCAUACUGUGUGAGCCAAUGCCUUAUAGUAAAUCAUGUACAUACAUACAUGCAUAUUACAUACGUAUGUACAUACAUUUAUACACUUACAGAUAAAAUAUUAUAUUGGUUUGUUUCUCUAAAGAACUUAGAACAAUACAAAUUUUGGUAGGCAAAUACGCUCAUUUACCUAUGCUGAGGAAUGGAAUUGCAGGGUCGUAGCAUAGACAUAUGUUUAGUUUUAGAAGUAGACAGUUUCAAAAGGUUUUUCAAAGUGACAGCUUUCAUUUAAGGGGAAAAAGUGAUUUUGUUUUCUUUGGGGAGGGAGAAAAAGAGAGCAAGAGAUGCUAUUGGACCGUAUCUUUAUAAGUUUCACAUGAAACAAUGUGAUUAUGUUUCUCAGAUGCUCUCUGUGUUAGGUAGAAGAGGUGGAGAGAAUUUUUGUUUUUAGGGAAAAUAACCCAAGGGAGGAUACUAAGACCCUUUCUUCCUUUUGAUUCUUCUUGUUUGCUGCCUUUUGGUAAAGACAUAGAUCACAGCCUACAGAUGGACGAAUAAAAUAGAGAUGUCAAAUGAAAUCACAGAGCUAAACUGUAAAUAACCCUGAUGUUUUAAUACUCAAUCAAACUACAGAAAGAUCUGGGGUUACUUUUUCUUAGAUCUGCUGUGGGGAAAGAAAGAAAGGAACAAGAUUAGUGACAGAGAUUAGUGAAGAAACUACAUAAUUAUACCUGUGUCUCUUUCUUUCAAAGCUUAGAAUGUACCAUGUUAA